UACGGGGGGGGGCAAGCGUUGUUCGGAAUUACUGGGCGUAAAGGGCGCGUAGGCGGCCUUCUAAGUCGAACGUGAAAUCCCCAGGCUCAACCUGGGAACUGCGUCUGAUACUGGUUGGCUUGAAUCCGGGAGAGGGAUGCAGAAUUCCAGGUGUAGCGGUGAAAUGCGUAGAUAUCUGGAGGAAUACCGGUGGCGAAGGCGGCAUCCUGGACCGGCAUUGACGCUGAGGAGCGAAAGCCAGGGGAGCAAACGGG
rnacentral:rRNA from 1 species